rnacentral:rRNA from 1 species
GUCUGUGGCCACGCCAACCUGAACAAGCCCGAUGUCUGACCUCAGAAGCUAAGCAAGGUCGGACCUUGUUAGUACUCGGAUGGGAGACCCCAGGGAAACCAAGUGCUGUAGGCA